rnacentral:rRNA from 1 species
UAGGGAAUCUUCCGCAAUGGGCGAAAGCCUGACGGAGCAACGCCGCGUGAGUGAUGAAGGUCUUCGGAUCGUAAAACUCUGUUAUUAGGGAAGAACAAAUGUGUAAGUAACUAUGCACGUCUUGACGGUACCUAAUCAGAAAGCCACGGCUAACUACGUGCCAGCAGCCGCGGUAAUACGUAGGUGGCAAGCGUUAUCCGGAAUUAUUGGGCGUAAAGCGCGCGUAGGCGGUUUUUUAAGUCUGAUGUGAAAGCCCACGGCUCAACCGUGGAGGGUCAUUGGAAACUGGAAAACUUGAGUGCCGAAGAGGAAAGUGGAAUUCCAUGUGUAGCGGUAAAAUGCGCAGAGAUAUGGAGGAACACCAGUGGCGAAGGCGACUUUCUGGUCUGUAACUGACGCUGAUGUGCGAAAGCGUGGGGAUCAAACAGG